GAUGAAGAACGUAGCGUAAUGCGAUAAGUAGUGUGAAUUGCAGAAUUCAGUGAAUCAUCGAAUCUUUGAACGCACAUUGCGCCCCUUGGUAUUCCAUGGGGCAUGCCUGUUCGAGCGUCAUUUGUACCCUCAAGCUCUGCUUGGUGUUGGGUGUUUGUCCACUCCCUGGUGUCUGGACUCGCCUUAAAGCAAUUGGCAGCCAGUGUUUUGGUAUUGAAGCGCAGCACAUUUUGCGUCUCCAGCCUAGAACGCUUGCGUCCAGUAAGCCUUUUUCCACUUUUGACCUCGGAUCAGGUAGGGAUACCCGCUGAACUUAAGCAUAUCAAUAAGCGGAGGA
rnacentral:misc_RNA from 1 species